rnacentral:sRNA from 1 species
AGAAAAGUAGGUGCCGCCCCGCACAGGGGCAACACUAAUAGACCAUUAACAAAACAAGGAAAGGCCAAAAGACAAACACUAAUAAACCACGACCGAGGUUAAU